rnacentral:rRNA from 1 species
CGCGUAGGCGGGAUGGCAAGUCGGUCGUGAAAUCCUUCGGCUCAACCGAAGAACGUCGGCCGAUACUGCCGUUCUUGAGGGAUGCAGAGGAGACUGGAAUUCCCGGUGUAGCGGUGAAAUGUGUAGAGAUCGGGAGGAACACCGGUGGCGAAGGCGGGUCUCUGGGCAUCUCCUGACGCUGAGGCGCGAAAGCGUGGGGAGCAAACGGGAUUAGAUACCCCGGUAGUCCACGCCAUAAACGAUGACGACUAGGUGUGGGGUGGUUCAGUCCACUCCGUGCCGCAGCUAACGCAUUAAGUCGUCCGCCUGGGGGAGUACGGCCGCAAGGUUGAA